rnacentral:rRNA from 1 species
GAUGAACGCUGGCGGCGUGCCUAAUACAUGCCAGUCGAGCGAACAGACGAGGAGCUUGCUCCUCUGACGUUAGCGGCGGACGGGUGAGUAACACGUGGAUAACCUACCUAUAAGACUGGGAUAACUUCGGGAAACCGGAGCUAAUACCGGAUAAUAUAUUGAACCGCAUGGUUCAAUAGUGAAAGACGGUUUUGCUGUCACUUAUAGAUGGAUCCGCGCCGCAUUAGCUAGUUGGUAAGGUAACGGCUUACCAAGGCAACGAUGCGUAGCCGACCUGAGAGGGUGAUCGGCCACACUGGAACUGAGACACGGUCCAGACUCCUACGGGAGGCAGCAGUAGGGAAUCUGCCGCAAUGGGCGAAAGCAUGACGGAGCAACGCCGCGUGAGUGAUGAAGGUCUUCGGAUCGUAAAACUCUGUUAUUAGGGAAGAACAAAUGUGUAAGUAACUAUGCACGUCUUGACGGUACCUAAUCAGAAAGCCACGGCUAACUACGUG